GUAGGUGGCAAGCGUUGUCCGGAAUUAUUGGGCGUAAAGCGCGCGCAGGCGGUUCUUUAAGUCUGAUGUGAAAGCCCACGGCUCAGCCGUGGAGGGUCAUUGGAAACUGGAGAACUUGAGUACAGAAGAGGAAAGCGGAAUUCCACGUGUAGCGGUGAAAUGCGUAGAGAUGUGGAGGAACACCAGUGGCGAAGGCGGCUUUCUGGUCUGUAACUGACGCUGAGGCGCGAAAGCGUGGGGGAGCAAACAGGAUUAGAUACCCUGGUAGUCCACGCCGUAAACGAUGAGUGCUAAGUGUUAGGGGGUUUCCGCCCCUUAGUGCUGCAGCUAACGCAUUAAGCACUCCGCCUGGGAGUACGGCCGCAAGGCUG
rnacentral:rRNA from 1 species